GAAUCCGCUAAGGAGUGUGUAACAACUCACCUGCCGAAUGAAUUAGCCCUGAAAAUGGAUGACGCUUAAGCGGACAGCCGACACCACGUCGUCUGAUCAAAGUGGUUCUCAGAUGAGUAGGAGGGCGUGGCGGUCGAAUGGAAGCGUCGGUGCGAACUGGCGUGAAUCGGCCGCUAGUGCAGAUCUUGGUGGUAGUAGCAAAUAUUCAAGUGAGAUCCUUGAAGGACGAAGCGGGGAAGGGUUCCACGCGAACAUUGAUUGAGCGUGGGUGAGUCGUUCCUAAGCCGAGUGGUCAUAGCUAAUUACCGGCGAAAGGGAAGCAGGUUGACAUUCCUGCACGCGGAUGUGGAGGCGGUGACGCCGUAUUGAGGUGAUGAAGUUGGCGGAGGCUCUGGGCAGAGUUGUCUUUUCUGUUUAACCGUCAAUGUACGCUGUGUGGAAUCCGCUUGUCGGGAGAAACACGCGUGCACGGGCAUAGCGCCGGGGCUUUUCCGGCGUCCAGAUCGCCUCCGACGACCCUUGAAAAAUUACCUACUGAUAUUUAAUAUCCACGCCGCGGCGUACCGAUCACCGCAUCAGGUCCCCAAGGUGAACAGCCUCUGUCCGAUAUGAAAAAUGCAGGUAAGGGAAGUCGGCA
rnacentral:rRNA from 1 species